rnacentral:rRNA from 1 species
GACGAACGCUGGCGGCGUGCCUAACACAUGCAAGUCGAGCGGAGUCGAUCGACGGAAGCCUUCGGGCGGAAGAUGGUUGACUUAGCGGCGGAUGGGUGAGUAACGCGUGGGCAACCUGCCUCGAAGACCGGGAUAACAGCCCGAAAGGGCUGCUAAUACCGGAUGUGGUCAAGGAUCCGCAUGGAUUUUUGAUUAAAGGGGAAACCCGUUUCGAGAUGGGCCCGCGUCCUAUCAGCUAGUUGGUGAGGUAAAAGCUCACCAAGGCGACGACGGGUAGCCGGCCUGAGAGGGUGACCGGCCACACUGGAACUGAGACACGGUCCAGACUCCUACGGGGGGCAGCAGUGGGGAAUCUUCCACAAUGGGCGAAAGCCUGAUGGAGCGACGCCGCGUGAGCGAAGAAGGCCUUCGGGUUGUAAAGCUCUGUCUGGAGGGACGAAGGAAGUGACGGUACCUCCGGAGGAAGCCACGGCUAACUACGUGCCAGCAGCCGCGGUAAAACGUGUGUGUA